rfam:Triticum aestivum genome assembly, contig: Triticum_aestivum_CS42_TGACv1_scaffold_393405_5AS
UUACUACUCCCUCCGUUCCGAAUUACUUGUCUUAGAUUUGUCUAGAUACGGAGGUAUCUAGCACUAAAAUGAGUCUCGAUACAUCUGUAUCUAGACAAAUCUAAGACAAGUAAUUCGGAACCGAGGGAGUAGCUA